GGUAGGGCUGUUAGGGUUUAUCUUACGAACCCCGCCAGGUCCGGAAGGAAGCAACGGUAAGUAAGCUCUAAACCGCUAACAUAACCCUACCCUC
rnacentral:SRP_RNA from 2 species